GAAGCGGCAACAGCUCAAAUUUGAAAUCUGACCCUUUGGGGUCCGAGUUGUAAUUUGCAGAGGGUGUUUCGGGCACGGUGCCGGUUUAAGUCCUUUGGAACAGGGUGUCAUAGAGGGUGAGAACCCCGUAUGUGACCGGUCGUCAAACCUAUGUGAAACCCCUUCGACGAGUCGAGUUGUUUGGGAAUGCAGCUCAAAAUGGGUGGUAAAUUUCAUCUAAAGCUAAAUAUUGGCCAGAGACCGAUAGCGCACAAGUAGAGUGAUCGAAAGAUGAAAAGCACUUUGGAAAGAGAGUCAAACAGCACGUGAAAUUGUUGAAAGGGAAGCGCUUGCGACCAGACCUGCUCGCGGGUGAUCAGCGGUGCUUUUCGCGCCGUGCACUCAUCCGCGAUCAGGCCAGCAUCGGUUCAGGCGGCCGGACAAAGACUCGGAGAAUGUAGCUCCCUCCGGGGAGUGUUAUAGCUCCUUGUGCAAUACGGCCAGCCGGGACCGAGGACCGCGC
rnacentral:rRNA from 1 species